UGGAUCCAAGGAAUUUCUUGGCAAAAGUCUGUGUGAGAGCUUGAUAGGCUCCGCGCUUGCCUUUACAAAGCGCUUUGUACCGGUGCGGUAGAGGAACAAACCCCACCAGCUUCGGAGGGCACUUCAGCGAUUGCCCGGUGCGGUAGGCAUGCCCCAGCGACGCUCCGGCUUACGCCUUUACUGCGGGUCGAUAUUCACAAAGAGAUCACUAGUUCCCGUGAGGAGGGAGACGAAGUUCCUCUGCCCCGCCUGUCACCGGGCUUGCGAUCCCGCUUGCUGCCUGCGCCUACGCACCUCGGCCAGUAUUCACCCGCAUCACUCACGCUCCUGAAAUCAGUUUCACGCUUGUUUAACUGGUCUGAUCGGAAUGUAACUGAAGAAGCCGGGAAAUGGAGAACUGAGUGUCAUGUACCUCCUCAGACCUGCAGGGAAACGGAGCCGUGGCCAAAACCUUGGGUGUAAAUGCGACAACAAAAAUAAAUAUUUUACAUCACUGUGCAGAACAUAUUUUACUAAGUCAA